GAGUUUGAUCGUGGCUCAGGAUGAACGCUGGCGGCGUGCCUAAUACAUGCAAGUCGAACGAACAGAUAAGGAGCUUGCUCCUUUGACGUUAGCGGCGGACGGGUGAGUAACACGUGGGUAACCUACCUAUAAGACUGGAAUAACUCCGGGAAACCGGGCUAAUGCCGGAUAACAUGUUGAACCGCAUGGUUCUACAGUGAAAGACGGUCUUGCUGUCACUUAUAGAUGGACCCGCGCCGUAUUAGCUAGUUGGUGGGUAACGGCCUACCAAGGCGACGAUACGUAGCCGACCUGAGAGGGUGAUCGGCCACACUGGAACUGAGACACGGUCCAGACUCCUACGGGAGGCAGCAGUAGGGAAUCUUCCGCAAUGGGCGAAAGCCUGACGGAGCAACGCCGCGUGAGUGAUG
rnacentral:rRNA from 1 species